GUUUGUAGCUGUCAAAUGUUUUACAAUUUGAAAGGUGUGUGUUCGUUUUAAAACGUAGAUAUGGUUAUGAAAUUAUAUGUACCUACACGACUGUGUGGCUUUAAUAAGAAAUUCCCCACGAAACUGCCGUGACACUAGUUUGGCAUGAGUCAAAUAGGCCAAUAACUAUGGCAUACGUUAUGGCUAUUUCGCUCGCUGUGCUACAACUGGACGUAGAUCUGUUACAUAAUUUUAUUAACUUCACUCGCAAUGCUACAACAGGACAUAAUUAUGUUACAUUAUUUUAUUAACGUUAAAUGAAAACAGACUACGGAUUUGGUAACACGAGGCCUGUGGGCGUCUGAGUGUGCAAACCUCCAGCAAUCUUACGUACAUCUCAAACCAUCUGGACCCCUGCUCACUGCCAAGUUACGUAUUGCUGCAGGCUAGAGUGAGGGACCCCCACUUUAAAGAACCUCCAUCUUAAGAUCAGCGCUGGUGUGGGACAGAGGACACGCUCACUCUGUGUAGUGCAUGAUGGACUCCACGUAGUUUCCAGGAAAAAGUCCCGUAGUGCCGCUCAUCACGCCUUCAUACCAGCCGUCGUCAUUCUUUUUAAUCACAUAGAUGAUGGCUCCCUCCUGGAAAGACAACUCAUCUUCCUUAUCCCGUAUGUUUGUGGAGCCCAUGGUGGGUCUUCCUCAGCAUAAGGGUCACUGUACUCCACCACAGAAGACUCCUCUUCCUCAUAGCCUUCUGGAGGAGCAGCCGGAUUUUGUGUGUCGUCAAACAUGGGCUCUUCUGAUGGAGGAGAUGGAGGAGGCGCAUCUGUAACUGAGAGAAAGUUGAGAAAUGAGCAGACGACCAGGACUCCUGCUAAAGGGCAGGCCAUGCAAACUCAUGGAUCCAUGCAGAAAGCAAAUGAGGUAAACUAUGAUGAUUUGCUGUGAACGAAUAGAGUUGAAACUUUCACUGGUAACAUUCUGAGACAAACAUACACAUGCAUGCUAAUGUAAAAGUGUAUAUAUGUGUACAAACUAUUUUAAUAAUUUCAGCUAGAUGUUUGUGUUGUGAACUAUGUGUGAACAUAUUUUACGUCAAAUAUCUUAUUCAGGACAGUACUAAAUAACAUUCUCAUAUUUUGUUCAAAUAAUUCACAUUUAAACAAAUUCUUCAAGAGGUAUGUAAAGUUUUGAGAAUGUGUGUGUGUGUGUGUGUGUGUGUGUGUGUAUUAGUGCUGUCAAAAUUAGUGUGUUAACGCAUGCAAUUAAUUUGAAAUAUGUAACGUGUUAAAAAAAUUCACACAAUUGCAGUUUUUUUUUCUGUUGUAGUCGACAUGUGUUCAACAUACAAAGAAAUAUGGAUAAGACCAAGGAAGCACUUUUUGAUGGAAAGUUUCAGUAGAAAACAAUUAAUGUCACAUUGGGUUAUCCAGUGUUUCCUCCAGAAUUUCAUCUAAUUUCGUAUGAUUCAAUUUUAAUAUUUUGAUGUUGUUUUAAUGGAAUUUGAUAUCGCAUGCCGAACAGAAAGAAAAACCUCUGCAUUUCGUUACUCAGUGGUCCUUUAAGGUAAUUAAAAAUCGCUG
ensembl:antisense